UACGAAGGGGGCUAGCGUUGCUCGGAAUCACUGGGCGUAAAGCGCACGUAGGCGGGUCUUUAAGUCAGGGGUGAAAUCCUGGAGCUCAACUCCAGAACUGCCUUUGAUACUGAAGAUCUUGAGUUCGGGAGAGGUGAGUGGAACUGCGAGUGUAGAGGUGAAAUUCGUAGAUAUUCGCAAGAACACCAGUGGCGAAGGCGGCUCACUGGCCCGGUACUGACGCUGAGGUGCGAAAGCGUGGGGAGCAAACGGG
rnacentral:rRNA from 1 species